AUAGCUUUUAAGUUAAUAAUUGUCUGUGUAAUUUUGCAUCUGUUGCUCUAUUGGAGUAAUAGUUUAUAUCAUAUUUUUUAUCCCCCUUUUCUAGUACUGUGCCUACCACCUAAGUCUGUUGCAUAAUUACUCACCAGAUGGGUGACUGAAGACAGUCCUGGGCUUGGAGGGGCCUGGGAUGGCUAAAAGGGAUGUGGUCAUUGUCAUGGAGCUAUCCAAGGUAGUCAAGGUUAAGAAUUCUGUGCCAAAGUAAAGCGAUGCUUAAUAAUUCCCUUUUAUUAGCAAGAUCUGAAAUUAUAUCUUCAGAACUGCAGUAUUUUGCCAGGUUAGAAGCAGUGAGGUACCUGAGAAUCUUACUUCACUUUAGUCUGCCAGCUCCUACUACUGGCUGGUGUCUGGCGACAGAGAGUUCUGUAUGCUGUUUCAGAAACAUAAUCUGUCUCUUCGCAUUUGAAUGGUACUGCGUGUGUCUUGUCAUCAGAUUUCAGAGCACCAGGAAUAAGGUGGGGCCUGAUAAGGAGGUUUUUGAGGAAAGUCUGUAGGAAAACCCUAGAAUUAUCCUUUCUGUUUCCCCAGCUCCAAUACUGUUGGCACUAGUGGCAGGAGAAGCUGCUGGUAUCAUGGAAAACAUAAGUGACGAUGUGAUUGUUGGCCGAUGCCUGGCCAUUCUCAAAGGGAUUUUUGGUAGCAGUGCAGUACCUCAGGUAAGUAGGUAGGUGGGGCAAGGAGGGAUCUAGGGUUCAAACUCAACCAGGGUUUAAUGUAUUUGCAGUAUGUUCUUGGUCAGGACAGUUUAAGCUAGAAUUGAGGUCUGUGCUUUUACAUGAAUAAUUAAUGUUUGGAGUUCAUGGCCUAAGCGUGGGGUUCAGAAAAGCCCCCCAGAACAAGAGCUGGGGAGUCUGAAGGCUGUUAGCUGCAUUUCUCCUCUGGCUUUAGAGUCACACCAUAUCCCUGACAUUUUAGACAAAAUGGCCAAACUCCAGUGAGUAUCUCCGGGAAGUUUUCAGAGAACCUCUUGGUACUUUUUCGUGUUCUUUGAAAUACUUUAACCCUUUAGGAUUCCUUUGAAGGGAGGCAUAUUGUGAAUUUAUAAAAGAGAAUAAAGGCCAAGCCCUGUGUAGAUCUCUGGAUUCAUAGACAGGAAGGCAACAUGGAGGGGCAUCCUUCCUGUCUGAAGUCCUUUUGUCCAUGUGUGUUUUAAAGCAGGCAUUCAUCACUUGAUCACUGGCUCUCACAUGUUGCCCCUCUUUCUCUUCACUUGCAUCUCCACCCACCAUUGCUUUUCUACCUUUCAAGGAUUGAUUUGUGCUUGGUGUCUCGUAAUGACUUUUGCUCCUGGUUUUUCUUUUAGCCCAAAGAAACUGUGGUGUCUCGUUGGCGUGCUGAUCCCUGGGCCCGGGGCUCUUAUUCCUAUGUUGCUGCAGGAUCAUCUGGAAAUGACUAUGAUUUAAUGGCUCAGCCAAUCACUCCUGGCCCCUCGAUUCCAGGUGCCCCACAGGUGAGAAGCUGGCAAACUAUCUGGGCUUAUUUGGGAAGAGGCCAGGAUCUCAUGAUGUCCCUGAUUUUUUUUUUUUUCAGAUUUUAGUCAUUCCAUCUUCGGACCCUUUCAGAUAACCAAGAGCAGAGUUAAAAGGAUGGGCAGCAUUUCUGAUUUCUCAUAAUUUGGUUUUGUAAAUCUAGGCAGUCUACAUUCAGAAUGGAGGAGUCCAGAGUAUAAGUCAAAUAACAUUUUUCCUUAUUCAGGUUUUCUCCCUAAAAAACAAAACCAUUUUUAAUUGCACUUCCAUUUUGUAAUGGCUCAUAGGAUUGCUGUAAGGUCUCAAUUACUAGGGGCUUCCAGGGCAUUUCUGAGAAAUAACUCUGGGUCCUUGUCUAGACCCUUAUGCCAGACCCCACUCCAAAGAGUGGUAAGAAUUCCUUAGUGUCAUAGCCCAGACCUGCUCUGAGCUGCGAGGCUUAAGUGUCCCUGAUCACCAAAUGUCCUGUGCUUCAGGGUAGCGAGGCUCCCUCCCAGAAGUAGUUAUACAUGAGGGAAGGACGCUUCACAACUGGGUAUCUAAACUGAUGAGAACACAUGUUAAGCAUCACUUUAGGACUGGGGCUAGGUAGAGUUUUAUUGUCUCAUUUCUACUUGUCAAUUCUGGGAAAGUGCCUACUGAUAAGGGAGACUCUUCGACAGAAUGAUGAAUAGUAACUGGGGGGGUCAGCCUUUAAAAAGGUCAACAGCAAUUUAAGUACUUAGCAAUUUAAGUACAAGAAUAAAGGUGUAUGUGCAGCCUGCCAAUUUUCUCUUUUUCCCCUAAAAUAGCCGAUUCCACGACUCUUCUUUGCGGGAGAACAUACGAUCCGUAACUACCCAGCCACAGUGCAUGGUGCUCUGCUGAGUGGGCUGCGAGAAGCAGGAAGAAUUGCAGACCAGUUUUUGGGGGCCAUGUAUACGCUGCCUCGCCAGGCCACACCAGGUGUUCCUGCACAGCAGUCCCCAAGCAUGUGAGACAGAUACAUUCUAAGGGAAGAGGCCCAUAUGCCUGUUUCUGCCAUGUAAGGAAGGCUCUUCUAGCAAUACUAGAUCCCACUGAGAAAAUCCACCCUGGCAUCUGGGCUCCUGAUCAGCUGAUGGAGCUCCUGAUUGACAAAGGAGCUUGCCUCCUUUGAAUGACCUAGAGCACAGGGAGGAACUUGUCCAUUAGUUUGGAAUUGUGUUCUUCAUAAAGACUGAGGCAAGCAAGUGCUGUGAAAUAACAUCUUAGUCCCUUGGUGUGUGGGUUUUUUUUUUUUUUUAUAUUUUGAGAAUAAAACUUCAUAU
rnacentral:sRNA from 1 species